rnacentral:rRNA from 1 species
UGGGGAAUAUUGGUCAAUGGGGGAAACCCUGAACCAGCAACGCCGCGUGAAGGAAGAAGGCUUUCGGGUUGUAAACUUCUUUGACAGGGGACGAAAAAAAUGACGGUACCCUGAAAACAAGCCACGGCUAACUACGUGCCAGCAGCCGCGGUAAUACGUAGGUGGACAGCGUUGUCCGGCUUUACUGGGUGUAAAGGGCGUGUAGGCGGGACUGCAAGUCAGAUGUGAAAUCUGGGGGCUUAACCCUCAAACUGCAUGUGAAACGGUGGUUCUUGAGUGAUGGAGAGGCAGGCGGAAGUCCGGGUGUAGCGGUGAAAUGCGUAGAUAUACGGAGGAACACCAGUGGCGAAGGCGGCCUGCUGGACAUUAACUGACGCUGAGGCGCGAAAGCGUGGGGAGCAAACA